rnacentral:tRNA from 1 species
GGCAGGAUGGCUGAGAAUAGGCGGUAAAUUGUAAAUUUAUUAACGAAUUUUAAAAUUCUCCUACC